AAGGAUUUAAGUUAAAUUAAACUAAUAACCUUCAAAGUUAUCAAUAGAGUUUCUCUAAGCCUUG
rnacentral:tRNA from 1 species